rnacentral:rRNA from 1 species
UACGUAGGUGGCGAGCGUUGUCCGGAAUUACUGGGUGUAAAGGGCGUGUAGGCGGGAAGGUAAGUCAGAUGUGAAAUUCCAGGGCUCAACUCUGGCGCUGCAUCUGAAACUAUUUUUCUUGAGUGCUGGAGAGGAAAGCGGAAUUCCUAGUGUAGCGGUGAAAUGCGUAGAUAUUAGGAGGAACACCAGUGGCGAAGGCGGCUUCUGGACAGUAACUGACGCUGAGGCGCGAAAGCGUGGGGAGCAAACAGG